GACGAACGCUGGCGGCGUGCUUAACACAUGCAAGUCGAACGGAAAGGCCCUGCUCUUGUGGGGUGCUCGAGUGGCGAACGGGUGAGUAACACGUGAGUAACCUGCCCUUGUCUUUGGGAUAACUUUAGGAAACUGGGGCUCAUACCGGAUAGGAGCUCCUGCUGCAUGGUGGGGGUUGGAAAGUUUCGGCGGUUGGGGAUGGACUCGCGGCUUAUGAGCUUGUUGGUGAGGUAGUGGCUUACCAAGGCUUUGACGGGUAGCCGGCCUGAGAGGGUGACCGGCCACAUUGGGACUGAGGUACGGACCAGACUGCUACGGGAGGCAGCAGUGGGGAAUAUUGCACAAUGGGCGGAAGCCUGAUGCAGCAGCGCCGCGUGCGGGAUGACGGCCUUCGGGUUGUAAACCGCUUUCGCCUGUGACGAGGCGUGAGUGACGGUAAUGGGUAAAGAAGCACCGGCUAACUACGUG
rnacentral:rRNA from 1 species